AUGUUCAAGUAUAUUAUAAUCUACCAAGUAUAAACGACACAAAGAAGAUUAGCAUGGCCCCUGCACAAGGAUGACAUGCAAAUUGGUGAAGCGCUCCAUAAACUA
rnacentral:snRNA from 1 species